rnacentral:lncRNA from 10 species
UCUUAUACAAGCACAGGAGGUCGAGGGGAGCACCCUCUUCCCCUCCUCUCCCAUGUAAGGACACAGCAUAUCUCCCCUCUGGAGGAUCUGGCAGCAAGGCGCCAUCUUGGAAGCAGAGAGCAGCCCUCACCAGACACUAAUCCUGCGGACAUCUUGAUCUUGGACUUCCCAGCCUGGCAGACUGUGAGAACAUAAACAGAGGCGACUUCAUUAAAAUGCAGCCUGCUCUGACAUGCUACUGGGAAGAUCAGUUGGCAAAUGUGUAUGAGUGAUUCCAGAUGAAAGUGAGGUCACCCAAUCAACUUGAUAAAUAGAGCUCAUAGCAUAACAUCCCACAUUCUUACAUAUCUGAAAUUAAAAAAAAUAUAUAAAUAAUUCUGAAUUAUUUUACUCUUAAGAGUACAAGUGCACAUUGUCUUCUGUGAAGCAUAAUGGAGAACCCACACCAGCUCAUAGACGGCAGCCAGCAUUUUAUAAAUACCUCACGUUUUUAACUGGUCCUAUCCUUAUCAUUAUGGCAACAGUGGAUACUAUUAGUUUUUAACUAACGGUACUAACUAAUAAUAAUUAUAAGGAAAAUUGCCAAUGUUCUACACAUACAUAUUUCACUGAAUCCCCAAAAGAAUAAGAGGUGCAUUUUAUAAUUACCAUCCCUUUUUACAAUGCUGAUGCUAAAAUCUCAGGUCAAGUGCUUUAUCAAAGUGGCUGAAUUAGGACUUGAAUUCCAUAUUUUGUUUUGAUGCUACUCUGCUUUUAGGAAAGAUUUUGAAGAGUGGGGAGGUCUCACUAGAAAUACAUUUCUAAAAGCCUUGAGAGUUUCUUUAGCUGUGAAUUCCCAAAGCAGCUUAAAGAAUUUUGCAAGAACUGAGCUGCUGAUUCUUUUACGUCAGUUUGCCACCGAGAUGAUUUUCUUUCAGAGGAAAAACCGAAGAUAGAACAGUAGUUUUCCACUCUGACCUUCCUGGCUGCCUUCACCCCACCCCAUUUCAUUCAUGCUGCUCCUUAGGCAACAAAACAAAUGGGACAAAGCUGUAUAUCCUUUCCUAAGAUAAAUUCAUCAGGUGAGGGAGAAAGUUGAUUUAGAUUAACCAUGUGUUGUGUAGGCAAGUUCAACGGAGAGAGAGAUUACGUGAAAACCUAACAAGGACAUAAGCACCACCUUCACCAAGCAGGACACGUGGACAAACAAGGACUCCCCAGAAGAACCAAGGGAUAGACGAGCAUCGCAGGAAUAAAACCAGAAUAUCCAAAUCAUAUUUGUGAAAAAAUUACAUUUUCUACUACGUUUUCUUAUUUUUAUAUAUUUAAAAAAUUUUGCAAUGUUCAGUCUCUUCUUGUUUUAUAAAAAGUUGGUAAAUAUCCUUUUCAUCAUCUCAACUCUUGUCAGUUCAUGGAUGGUUUACUCAAUUUCGCCUGUUAGUCUCACUUCAUGGUAUGCUGCCUGUACUUCUCAUAAGAGAAAAACUCCAGCUCAGAAUCAGAUGCCCUCUAGAGAAAGGCUGGCUUGACUUUGUUGUGUGUCUGCAACAAAUGACUUAUUUUUUCAAUAAAACCCUCAGUGUGGCUGGGUACCUAUAUGUUACCUUCUUUCUAAAGCGCCCAAGAGGCCACAGAGAUCAUUGUCAAAGUGAACUAUUGAGCAUUGCAGUGCUGGGCAUCAGGGGAGCAAGACUUCGAUGACAGGGGAAG